rnacentral:rRNA from 1 species
GUGGGGAAUUUUGGACAAUGGGCGCAAGCCUGAUCCAGCAAUGCCGCGUGCAGGAAGAAGGCCUUCGGGUUGUAAACUGCUUUUGUACGGAACGAAAAGGCUCUGGUUAAUACCUGGGGCUCAUGACGGUACCGUAAGAAUAAGCACCGGCUAACUACGUGCCAGCAGCCGCGGUAAUACGUAGGGUGCAAGCGUUAAUCGGAAUUACUGGGCGUAAAGCGUGCGCAGGCGGUUUUGUAAGACAGACGUGAAAUCCCCGGGCUCAACCUGGGAAUGGCGUUUGUGACUGCAAAGCUGGAGUGCGGCAGAGGGGGAUGGAAUUCCGCGUGUAGCAGUGAAAUGCGUAGAUAUGCGGAGGAACACCGAUGGCGAAGGCAAUCCCCUGGGCCUGCACUGACGCUCAUGCACGAAAGCGUGGGGAGCAAACAGGAUUAGAAACCCUUGUAGUCC